CGGGAAGUAGCUCAGCUUGGUGGAGCACUUGGUUUGGGACCAAGGGGCCGCAGGUUCAAAUCCUGUCUUCCCGACCA
rnacentral:tRNA from 2 species